rnacentral:rRNA from 1 species
GACAGAGGUGGCAAGCGUUGUUCGGAUUCAUUGGGUGUAAAGGGUCCGUAGGUGGUCAAGCAAGUCUGAUGUGAAAUCCCAUGGCUCAACCGUGGAACGGCAUUGGAAACUGCCUGACUUGAGUACCGCAGAGGUGAAGGGAAUUCCCGGUGUAAGGGUGAAAUCUGUAGAUAUCGGGAGGAACACCAGUGGCGAAGGCGCUUCACUGGGCGGUUGCUGACACUGAGGGACGAAAGCAAGGGGAGCAAACAGG